GACGAACGCUGGCGGCGUGCUUAACACAUGCAAGUCGAACGGUGAAGGGACCAGCUUGCUGGUUCUGGAUGAGUGGCGAACGGGUGAGUAACACGUGAGUAACCUGCCCCCUUCUUCUGGAUAACCGCAUGAAAGUGUGGCUAAUACGGGAUAUUCUGGGUCUGUCGCAUGGCGGGCCCGGGAAAGAUAUUGCUUCGGUGGGGGAUGGGCUCGCGGCCUAUCAGCUUGUUGGUGGGGUGAUGGCCUACCAAGGCGGUGACGGGUAGCCGGCCUGAGAGGGUGGACGGUCACACUGGGACUGAGACACGGCCCAGACGCCUACGGGAGGCAGCAGUGGGGAAUAUUGCACAAUGGGCGCAAGCCUGAUGCAGCGACGCCGCGUGAGGGAUGGAGGCCUUCGGGUUGUAAACCUCUUUCGCCAGUGAAGCAGGCCUGCUCCUUGUGGGUGGGUUGACGGUAGCUGGAGAAGAAGCGCCGGCUAACUACGUG
rnacentral:rRNA from 1 species